UACCUUCUUGGUCUUUGAAGCCUCUCUCCU
rnacentral:piRNA from 1 species